ACACCGGAGGCGGAAGUGGUGACGCGCGCACCUGAUUAGUGUGUUGUAGCAGGUUUCUCCUGAUGGAGACGCUGCGCGAACGAUUCCUGCCCGGUGUACCA
rnacentral:tRNA from 1 species